CUUUCAUCUUCCUUCGCUCUUUGCCGUCAUUCAUCCUCUGUCGACGCCUCAACACAGGAUCCGAUUAAACUCAUAUUAGGAUCACCUAAUAUUGGAUCAUGGAAAGGAGCAAUCUCAGCAGCUUUCAUUAGCAGCAGGACCUUCAGCUGAUUUCUCUGAUUACCUUGUCUUGGCAGCUCACAGAACCAAGAGACCUAACAUUCUCAGGGCCUUUAAGCCUUACCGUGGAGGCUGGAUCAUCACCAACAAUCACCAAUAAUAUAGAUUUAUGAUUGAAUCUGCAGAAUUCUGUGAUCCGUGGUUUCAUAGAUAUCAUGAAGAUUCAGUUCAUAAAUGUGUGGAUCUGUGUUUUUUUUUUUUUUUUUUUUUUUUUUUUGCGUUUUGAGAUAACUGGGGCGCAUCACAUACUACUAAGGCUGAAGGAAAAAGCUAGCGUGUAAUCACAACCCUCAAAUCCGAGAAGGAAGAACUGGAGGCAUGACUCAGCAAGGAGAAGAUAUAAACUCUCCAACUGAAGGAAGAGUUAACAGAGACUGAUACGAGAAACAUGCCUUCAACUUGGUUCUUAUUUAGUCUAGCAUUUUACCAUAAGCGAGUAGAAAGCAAGAGACAUGAGUUUGAUAGAAUUUCUUCAGAGAUUGUUUUGUCACAGCAACCAUUGUUUUGUAUUUGAUUUAUAGGAACUUCAAUAUGUGUGGAGUUAACUUGCAGCGGAACAGUCGAGGUGUUUCAAAUUAGAGAAACAAAGAGAGAAAGAGGAGGUACCAAGCUGUUUCCAACACUGGAGCCCGAGUGGAAAGGGCACAUAAACAACCAAUUGGACCAGGAGUGUGGCGAGGGACAAAAGAGAACGAUUACACCAAGUUAUAGCCACCUGUGUUAUUUCCUGUUAAACAUAACGAAGACAGCUGAGUCUGUUGGAUAUGUGAUCUGAACACAGUACCAAUAUUAUGGAAUGUUGCUGUUUUGUCAGUGAUUUAUUGUCAGAAUAUGAGUAUAAAGGCUAGAACAAAAUUGUCUUAAAUUUAAGUUCAAGUGCAAUACCAUACAACAUAAAUUGCAUC